rnacentral:rRNA from 1 species
GGCGAACGCUGGCGGCGUGCUUAACACAUGCAAGUCGAACGGAAAGGCCCUGCUUUUGUGGGGUGCUCGAGUGGCGAACGGGUGAGUAACACGUGAGUAACCUGCCCUUGACUUUGGGAUAACUUCAGGAAACUGGGGCUAAUACCGGAUAGGAGCUCCUGCUGCAUGGUGGGGGUUGGAAGUUUCGGCGGUUGGGGAUGGACUCGCGGCUUAUCAGCUUGUUGGUGGGGUAGUGGCUUACCAAGGCUUUGACGGGUAGCCGGCCUGAGAGGGUGACCGGCCACAUUGGGCCUGAGAUACGGACCAGACUCCUACGGGAGGCAGCAGUGGGGAAUAUUGCACAGUGGGCGGAAGCCUGAUGCAGCAACGCCGCGUGCGGGAUGACGGCCUUCGGGUUGUAAACCGCUUUCGCCUGUGACGAAGCGUGAGUGACGGUAAUGGGUAAAGAAGCACCGGCUAACUACGUG